rnacentral:tRNA from 1 species
GCGGCCAUGGCGGAAUGGUAGACGCGCUAGUUUCAGACGCUAGUGGGGGAACCCGUGGAAGUUCAAGUCUUCUUGGCCGCACCA